rnacentral:rRNA from 1 species
AGCGAACGGACGAGAAGCUUGCUUNNUCUGAUGUUAGCGGCGGACGGGUGAGUAACACGUGGAUAACCUACCUAUAAGACUGGGAUAACUUCGGGAAACCGGAGCUAAUACCGGAUAAUAUUUUGAACCGCAUGGUUCAAAAGUGAAAGACGGUCUUGCUGUCACUUAUAGAUGGAUCCGCGCUGCAUUAGCUAGUUGGUAAGGUAACGGCUUACCAAGGCAACGAUGCAUAGCCGACCUGAGAGGGUGAUCGGCCACACUGGAACUGAGACACGGUCCAGACUCCUACGGGAGGCAGCAGUAGGGAAUCUUCCGCAAUGGGCGAAAGCCUGACGGAGCAACGCCGCGUGAGUGAUGAAGGUCUUCGGAUCGUAAAACUCUGUUAUUAGGGAAGAACAUAUGUGUAAGUAACUGUGCACAUCUUGACGGUACCUAAUCAGAAAGCCACGGCUAACUACGUGCC